UGCUGGAGGGAUCAGGGACGGUGUGUGGUUUGCGUCUCCCAGCAAAGGCUUGCGCCCAGCGGUUUGGGGCUCUGAAACCCACAGCCCCACCGGGGAGCUGACCCCGAUGGCACCCCAGUACAUGCCCGUCAUCUCUGGGGCUGUGAGUCAAGCCGUGGGCGCCAGGGAGAGCCGCGGUGUUAGGCUGGCCAUGCCAGGGAGCUGGGGGGGCCCCCGGGGCUGGGCUGUGCCGCAGCUCCUGGGACUCGGCCACCCUGUCCGUCAGGAGCAGCAGCAUUUUUGGGAGAGGUAUCACGCGUGCUUCCCGCCUGCCGCCUCCCUGGACCGGUUUGUUUGCCAGCCAUUCCCGGCGGGUGCGCCGUGCCGCGCUGUGCCAUGCCGUGCUAGGCUGCUUUGAUCUGCCGGUGCUGGUUCCUGGCGCUGGGCUGGGAAAAGCCAGGAACCGCAAGGUGCAGCGGGCAGGGAGCCGGUGAGGGCAGGGAAAUGGUGCAGGCAGCACCGCUUUUGCCAGGCAAGGAGAGUGUUUGUAACCUCCCCAAGUCCCCCAGAAAGGGCACUUCCCUGCGAUGCGGUGGCCCGUGUCGGCCAUCAAUCAGCCCUGUGGGGAUUUGGCCCUGGUUUGGGACCCUGCAAGGCACCGUGUCUCCUGGGGGGGUCAGGAGGCAUUUGCAAGCUGCUCACAGCCCAGCCGGCAGCAGUGCGGAGGCAAGCUGGGAGCCGUGGCCUGGAACGGGCUCGCUGGAGUCAGCUCGGGAUUUAUUACCCUGCCAGUGGCUGCCGGGCAAAGGUGACAGUGACUAAUGGCUUGUUACACGCCUGCCACAUCUCAUCUGUGCGCCGUGGCCGGCGCUCCCAGCCCUGGUGUGCGGGCAGCCUGUGCCUGCCCUCCCUUCCCCAGGGGGACGGGGCCAAACCCCCCCUGUGCUCCCAUGGGGACCUCGGCCAGAGCGGGUAACAUCUGGCUGAAUUGGCACAGUAAUCUGUCCCCAUGCUGAGGAUGGAGACCUGCUCCAGUGGCUGGCGUCCCCAAGGGUACCACCACAUCUCGGGGUUUCCCAGCUGGUGGCGUGUCCCAGGGUGCCCUGGUGAGCCUCGUGUGACACAUGGGACUUUCUGGCGCAUGAAACUCUCUUGUGGUUGCAAAACCAUGAGCCGUGCUUGCCACCGCUCAGCUGGCCAGGGUCACCGGGCUGGGACGCGGAGGAGAGCGUUGCGUGUGCGGAUGGAUGCUGACAAAGCCACAAAUGCAUUCACUAGGAAAAUUAAAAAAUUAACAGGCAUUGGCUCACUCUAGAUUAGUAAAGGCAAGGAGAUAAAAGCGGCUCUUUAUACCUUGUGAGAAUUGCUGAUAAGGGCAUUUGUUCCUCUGUAUUCUUUAAAAAGAAUGCAAUAAAAAUUUAAAAUAGAACGGGAAAAGAGAGACAGGGAGGGGGGAAGCGCUGGUGGUGCUGGCGAGCAGGCUGCGGGCAGCAGUGGUGGGGCAGGCGCUGGGGCCCACUGGAAGAAGAGGAGGAGGAGGAGAAGGAUGGAGGGGAAGCAGAGGCGAGGGUGAGCUGAGAUGGGGUUCAGGUGGGUGGGUGGGUCUGUAACUUCUUCCACUUGCGAGUGGGCUGAGCCCCACCCCGCUCGUUGCGCUGAUGUUUCCAAAUUCCCAGAGCCUGCUUAGAGGUCCAAGCAGUUUUGAGGUGGGGGUCAAAUGGCUGGGUGCCACCUCCCAACCUCUUGUCCCCAGUGCUGCAUUUGGUGGGGACAGAGGGAAGGCGAGGGGUGCUCCAGAGUGAGCUCUGUGCCCCAUGCCAUGGGGUUCACAAAGCCCAGGGUGACCUCCAUCCCCUAGCCUCAGGAUGGCCUUUGUCCCCCCCACCAUGGGGACCCCCAGCUCCAGGGUAACCUCUGUCCCCCACACCGUGGGGUCUCUCAACCCCAGGAUGACCUGUGUUCCCCAUGCCAAAGGGUUCCCCAAGCCCAGGGUGACCUCUGUCCCCUACGCCGUAGCCAUAGGUGCCCCUUGCCUUCCCUCCGUCCCCCCAAAUGCAUUGUCCUGUAUGUUGGUCUCAGGGCUGUUACCCCCCCAUCACCCUAACUCUUGGGGGCACCUUCCCCGAUGCUGCAUCAUGACCCCCAUAGGGGGGUUCCCCCAUUCCUGCUGCACCCGACCCCCAUAGUGGGGGUCCCCCCGCCUUCCCCAGCAUCCCUCCUAGCAGACCCCCGUUCCGGUGCCUUCCUCCCCCGGGGUGGUGAAGGUGCCAUCCGCCCGGCCCCCUCCCCCGUCGGGGCGCUGCCCUGCCCGGCCCGGCCCCCGGUGAGUCACGCUCCAGCCGUGCGGCUCCCGGGGCGGCGGGCGGGCGCCGAGGGAAGCAGGAAGCGGCGGGGGGAAGGCUCAGCUCGGCUCUGCUCCGCUCCCCUCCCUUCACCGCCCUCCCCAUGGAGGAGCGCAGCCCCCGCUGGACAACGCGGACGACGGGGAUGACAUCUUCCUGGGGACAACAUCUUCCCAGUGAUGACAUCAUCCCAGGGACAUCUACUUUCUAGAGACAUCUGCUUCCUGGGCACAUCUUCCUGGGGACCACGUCAUCCCAGGGACUUCUCCUUCCUGGGAUAUCUGCCUCCAGGGGACAUCUCCUUCCUGGUGACAACAUCUUCCCAGGAACAUCUCCUUCCUGGGGACAGCAUCAUCCCAGGGACAUCUGCUUCCUGGGGACAUGUUCUUGGGGACCAUAUCUUCUCAGGGAUGUCUUCUUCCUGGGAUAUCUCCCUCCUAGAAACAUGUAUCCCUCCUGGGGACAUCUUCUUCCCAGUGACAUCUCCUUCCCAGAGACAAUCUGCUUUCUGGGGACAUCUUCCCAGGGACCAUCUCCUUUCCAGGGACCAUAUCUUCCCAGGGAUGUCUCCUUCCCAGUGACAUCUCCUUCCCGGGGACAUCUCUUUCCCAGUGACAACAUCUUCCUAGGGACCUCUCCUUCCUUAGGGAUCUCUCCUUCCUAUGGACCUCUCCUUGCUGGGGACAUCUUCCUCCUGCCACCCUGGGACACAUCUCUGUUAGAAGAGGAUGAUUUCCAGGCACUUGGCCUUUCUACCUCCCCAUGCAUGUACCUUGGCUCUGCUUCCAGUGUUUGCCCAUCACCUGAGCAGGAGCCAUCCCACCCACGUCCCCUCCUUGAAUCCCGUCUGGGCUCCCCUCGUCCCUGAUGUGACAGCUCCGGGGAGGUGGAAAAACUUCGUGUGGCGCAGAAAUUAAAUCAGAGGGGUGGAAAGCCCUGGGGAGGCGGGUGUUCGGCUGCGGGUACCACGGCGAUGUGCUGCUUGGACAAACGGACGAGGUGGUUGGAAAAAAACCGAGAGGAAACCCAAGAGCUUGAUGGUUUGUCUGCGGUGUCCUAAGGUGGCUGCUCCCGGGCUGGCGGUGACAGGUUUAUUGGCAGGCAGAGCGGGCUGGAAGGAUUGUCGGCUAUUUACAGUGCUGGGGCCGUGACUUUGCGAGCAGACAGUUAACAUAAAUUCACAUGAUGGAUCAGUUAUCACUUCAUUGAACUUGUGGCGGAUCCAUUGAAGGCUGUGCAGUAACAUACUGUUUCCUGGCUCCGCGCAGCGCUGGGAUACAUUAAAUACACUUUAUUUAUAGCUUACCAUUGCUGCACUGUGGGCAGGAGAAUGCAGCUUUUGCAACUAUCAUCUAAUUUUAUGAUGAGCAUUAAAGCAAGGCCUAUAAUUUGCACCUUUUUAUUCAUUAGACACUGGUGCAGCCAUAAGUCAAGAAUGCCCAGGGAUUUAGAUGCAGAUCCAGAAGAUAAACUAUUGACAAGCCAGAUGUAUUUUUACAUUAGUGUGCCUUUACAAUAGUUUAUGUUGAGAGUGGAAUAUAAAUUGCAUUAUUAAAUACGAACCACUCUUGGAACCGCUGCUUCUGCGCAGGCAGGGCGGGAUUCGGAGCCCCGGAGCAAGGAGGCUUUUCCUAAUGGCUUGAGAUUGGGUGGGGGAUUUUUAUUUGGGUUUAUAUUCACCCUGGACCAGGGGGCUGUCCCUUGGGGGAGCUGGUGACCCUGUGGAAUGUCCCUACACGGAGCAAAGCCAUCCCAGCCAUGUGUCCCCAUCGGACACCUCCGCUCGGCCACUGCCACCCGGCCAGCAGCGAGUUAAAUCCUUUUGUUUCCGAGGCAAUACAGUUUAUAUUAUGAGCAUGAAUAAAAGAUGGUUGUGCUAGGGGUAGCUGUCAGGAUCUUCGCCGCCUAUAAAGGCUUCUACUGUAGCUUGACAGUAAAAGACUGUGUUUGGGGACUGAUGUGGUUUCUCAAAGGAGCUAAAUAAAUAAGGGGCGCUUAUUUUUACACC